AACAUCGCGCACCUGCGGGAACCUGCGGAGGGAUCAUUACCGAGUUUACAACUCCCAAACCCCUGUGAACAUACCUAUACGUUGCCUCGGCGGAUCAGCCCGCGCCCUGUAAAAAGGGACGGCCCGCCCGAGGACCCUAAACUCUGUUUUUAGUGGAACUUCUGAGUAAAACAAACAAAUAAAUCAAAACUUUUAACAACGGAUCU
rnacentral:misc_RNA from 1 species